UACGUAGGGGUGCGAGCGUUUAAUCGGAAUUACUGGGGCGUAAAGCGUGCGCAGGCGGUUUUGUAAGCCAGAUGUGAAAAUCCCCCGGGGCUUAACCUGGGGAAUGGCAUUUGGGGACUGCAAGGCUGGAGUGCGGCAGAGGAGACUGGAAUUCCUGGUGUAGCAGUGAAAUGCGUAGAUAUCAGGAGGGAAUACCGAUGGCGAAGGCAGGGUCUCUGGGGGCUGACACUGACGCUCAUGCACG
rnacentral:rRNA from 1 species